GAUGAACGCUGGCGGCGUGCCUAAUACAUGCCAGUCGAGCGAACAGAUAAGGAGCUUGCUCCUUUGACGUUAGCGGCGGACGGGUGAGUAACACGUGGGUAACCUACCUAUAAGACUGGAAUAACUCCGGGAAACCGGGGCUAAUGCCGGAUAACAUUUAGAACCGCAUGGUUCUAAAGUGAAAGAUGGUUUUGCUAUCACUUAUAGAUGGACCCGCGCCGUAUUAGCUAGUUGGUAAGGUAACGGCUUACCAAGGCAACGAUACGUAGCCGACCUGAGAGGGUGAUCGGCCACACUGCAACUGAGACACGGUCCAGACUCCUACGGGAGGCAGCAGUAGGGAAUCUUCCGCAAUGGGCGAAAGCCUGACGGAGCAACGCCGCGUGAGUGAUGAAGGUCUUCGGAUCGUAAAACUCUGUUACUAGGGAAGAACAAAUGUGUAAGUAACUGUGCACGUCUUGACGGUACCUAAUCAGAAAGCCACGGCUAACUACGUG
rnacentral:rRNA from 1 species